rnacentral:rRNA from 1 species
AUUGAACGCUGGCGGCAUGCUUUACACAUGCAAGUCGAACGGCAGCGGGGGCUUCGGCCUGCCGGCGAGUGGCGAACGGGUGAGUAACGCAUCGGAACGUGCCCAUGUCGUGGGGGAUAACGUAUCGAAAGGUACGCUAAUACCGCAUACGUCCUGAGGGAGAAAGCGGGGGAUCUUCGGACCUCGCGCGAUUGGAGCGGCCGAUGUCGGAUUAGCUAGUAGGUGGGGUAAAGGCCCACCUAGGCGACGAUCCGUAGCGGGUCUGAGAGGAUGAUCCGCCACACUGGGACUGAGACACGGCCCAGACUCCUACGGGAGGCAGCAGUGGGGAAUUUUGGACAAUGGGCGCAAGCCUGAUCCAGCCAUGCCGCGUGAGUGAAGAAGGCCUUCGGGUUGUAAAGCUCUUUCGGCCGGGAAGAAAUCGUGUUCUCUAACAUAGGACAUGGAUGACGGUACCGGACUAAGAAGCACCGGCUAACUACGUGCCAGCCGCCGCCGUAAUAC